rnacentral:lncRNA from 1 species
UGAAUUCGAUGUCCCUGCAUCAGAUCGAAGCUUCUCGAGCCCCACCCCUUCUUCCUGACGCUGCUUGCCAUGUCCCGACGCCGACGUCUCACCGAACGGCCUCCCCUAUCUUCUCAGCCUCUCCUUUUGCUUCCCCACCACCCUGUCCCAUCGGAUCAGGCUUCCCCUUAUCGGAUCCGACCUCCCCUUAUCGGAUCCGACCUCCCCUCUUCUUCUCGUACCAUGCCGCCAAAUCAUCGCCCCCACCUCCCCCUUUCGAAUGCCCAAUCGCCUG